AUUGAACGCUGGCUGCAGGCCUAACACAUGCAAGUCGAGCGGUGCGGCGGACGGGCGCGUAAUGCCUAGGAAUCUGCCUGGUAGUGGGGGAUCACGUCCGUCAACGGGCGCUAAUACCGCAUACUAUCAGAUGAGCCUAGGUCGGAUUAGCUUGUUGGUGGGGUAAAGGCCUAUCAAGGCGAAGAUCCGUAACUGGUCUGAGAGGAUGAUCAGUCACACUGGAACUGAGACACGGUCCAGACUCCUACGGGAGGCAGCAGUGGGGAAUAUUGGACAAUGGGCGAAAGCCUGAUCCAGCCAUGCCGCGUGUGUGAAGAAGGUCUUCGGAUUGUAAAGCACUUUAAGUUGGGAGGCGUUACCAACAGAAUAAGCACCGGCUAACUUCGUGCCAGCAGCCGCGGUAAUAC
rnacentral:rRNA from 1 species